GGCUGUAGAGCCCAGUGUGAUUGUGUUGACAUAAUGUAGGUUUUUCUAUUUGCAAACAAGGCAGGGGGCUCACCGAGGGCAGGACUUUGUUACAAGAAUGAUACCGCUUUGAACUGUUUUCCACAAUCAGAUAACUACUGUUGAAUCUCAGUAGCCGCGCUGUUCCCACAGAAUCCUGCAGCGAGCAGCUGAUUCAUCCAGAUGAAGCCUUCAGUGCCAUCCUUUGCAGAUCUGAGAGUCCCGUUGCCUUCUCUGCAGAGCCCUGAGCAGUGAGUCCCACUGCAUUCUGCGCCCUGGGACAUGUUCAGGUGGACAGGAGGGAUUAGAGCUUGGCCAUGUGAUCUGCAUUUCUGGAUGCUACCUUGAACACCACUGAUGCAAGCCUUGCUCAGACAGAAGCCCUGCUGUGUCCAUGAGCAGCCCUGAAAGAGACAGGACACCAUUUCUGAUCAGUCUUACAGGGAAUGGUCUUAUCAGAGUUCUUCA
ensembl:lncRNA